rnacentral:tRNA from 1 species
GGUCGAGUAGCUGAGGUAGAUUAGCGUCGCUCUGAAAAGGCGAAGACGUUGGUGCGCGUGCCUUCCUCGACCACCA